UGAUUAUAGGACUUUUCAGAAAAACUGGUACUAGAGGGUCAUAGGAGCUGAUCUAAAACCUUACCUCACUUUCUCACAAAUUCUUGCCUUCCCAAUCCUGGUCACGGUUGUCUUAACCUCUUCCUGAAGUGAAAAACAGUCAGCAUGAGCCACGAAUGCCGCCCUGGAAACACCCCGUGUCCUUUCGAAAGCAGUUUUAGCAGACGUGGAGAAGAAGGCCCAUUUAUGCAGAGCUGGCUCAACCAUUUCCCGUUUUAUGAACUGAUUAGAAAAACAGAAAUUGGACAUUGUGGCUUACGUAUAGUUCGCACAUUUUGGGAGGAGGGAGCGAACGGCAUCGCUCAGCGUGUCAGACUGGAGGUGUGAUAUCUGCCCAAUCCUGUUCCGACGUGUAGUGUCAGCUCCGUUGCCCAGCAGCUCUCUGGACAGUCCUGUGAGAACAGCUUGCUCAGCAUCGUUUGUGAACUCGAUCUGAUGGAUGUGGGAUGAUAUCUCAUCCGCCUCCCCGUCCGCUGCGCAGACCCCAAGCCCCCACACGCUUAGCUGCUGGCAGAAGAC
rnacentral:lncRNA from 1 species